rnacentral:rRNA from 1 species
AACACGUGGGGAACCUGCCCAUAAGAGGGGGAAACAUCCGGAAACGGGUGCUAAUACCGCAUAGGUGAUCAUAGCGCAUGCUUAGAUCAUUAAAGAUGGCUUCSGCUAUCGCUUAUGGAUGGCCCCGCGGCGUAUUAGCUAGUUGGUGAGGUAAUGGCUCACCAAGGCUGUGAUACGUAGCCGACCUGAGAGGGUGAUCGGCCACACUGGAACUGAGACACGGUCCAGACUCCUACGGGAGGCAGCAGUAGGGAAUCUUCCACAAUGGGCGAAAGCCUGAUGGAGCAAUACCGCGUGAGUGAAGAAGGUCUUCGGAUCGUAAAGYUCUGUUGUUAGAGAAGAACAAGAGGUGUAGUAACUGGCACCUCCUUGACGGUAUCUAACCAGAAAGUCACGGCUAACUACGUGCCAGCAGCCGCGGUAAUACGUAGGUGACAAGCGUUGUCCGGAUUUAUUGGGCGUAAAGCGAGCGCAGGCGGUCUUUUAAGUCUGAUGUGAAAGCCCACGGCUCAACCGUGGAGGGUCAUUGGAAACUGGAAGACUUGAAUGCAGAAGAGGAAAGUGGAAUUCCAUGUGUAGCGGUGAAAUGCGUAGAUAUAUGGAGGAACACCAGUGGCGAAGGCGACUUUCUGGUCUGUAAUUGACGCUGAGGCUCGAAAGCGUGGGGAGCGAACAGGAUUAGAUACCCU